rnacentral:lncRNA from 10 species
CUCAGAUGGAAAUGCAGAAAUCACCGUCUUCUGCGUCGCUCACGCUGGGAGCUGUAGACCGGAGCUCGAGAACUACUUUUUAAUUAGGGCUUGGGAUUAGCCAUUGCCAUAGAAUGGAGUGAAUAACAGAGAAGAGAAACUGUGACUAAUUUAAGAGUGAUAAUCAUACAAUUGCAAUUUGGAGAAGAUUGACCUGAAAGAACUGCAGAGGAAGCAUGCUCUUUGUGUAAGAAAUCCUUAAAUUCCACACAAAAUCUAUAUAGUCUUCCUGGACAUGAUGCAUAAGGAAAUCCUAAGACUGCAUGCCGAGUUUAACCAAUUAAACUGGAAUAAACUGGAAUGAAUUUGCAUUUGGGAAGUAAAACACUAUCCAAGGGGCAUAAGAACAGCUGGGCUCCUACUGAAGGAGACACAUAUGGUGUUCAUUGUGGGGUUUUGCUUCUUAUUCCCUUUGAG